UUCAACACUGUUUUCUCCUGACCACUGUUUCUUUCUAACAUUCUCAAGCAGAUCAGAAAUUAUUGAUUUGUGAAGACAAAUUUGGAUGCAACUUCUAUCCCAUUUUCGAUUAAGGAUUUUGACACAGAGUACGAGAGGAGAUUGCAGCGGUAAGCCGGGAAGAGAUUACAACAGGCUUUUAGCAUUUCGAAAAUGUCGCGUUGUGCAAACACUAUAGCCUCCAUCUCGAUACGUGAGAAGAAGAACCUGAACAAGGAAACAGAACGCCUAGAGAACAAUAUAGAACAUCUGUUAGGUUCGCUGUUGACUAUUUCCGAUGUUGUUAUUGACUAUAGAAAGUUGAGAUUCGCUGUAGACUCGAAGGAGUUGUAGAUAUGGGAGAAGACGUCAUUGUGGUUAGAUAUUUGGCUGAUGUCUUUCCAGAAACUUUGCGCAGGUUACCAGCGAAGACAAAGAUCGUCUUUGAUAUUGAAGUACAACCAUAGGCAUCACCAGUAUCUAUACCUCCUUAUAGUUUGAUGCCUAAAGAAAUGAAGAAUUUGCACGUACAAGUUGACGAGUUUACUGAACUGGGUUUCCUACGGAGUACAUCCCUGUGAUAGACACAAGUUCUGUUUGUGCUCAAGAAGGACAAACCAUUGAAAAUGUGUAUUGAACCAGGUUACAAUCAGGAAUGAGUUCUCGGUGCCAAAAUGAUAAUUUUUCAUUUCGAACAGUUGAAGAGAGCGAAACACUUUUCCAAGAUUCAUCUGCGACUUGUCUACCACCAUCAGCCUUACCAACCAUGCAACAACGUACCACCAUUUCAACCGAGACAAUGUGACACUCAACGAGAACUUAAACAUGUUGCUGAGGUUAAAGGGGAAGCUGAAAAUGACGGAAUCAAGGGUAACCCUCUAACUUAUAAUUAUCACGUUAAAAUUAUGUUUCACGCCGAAACUGAUUGAAGAUAACGUUCAUAGUUUUUCGUUUAUUUUGAAUUGCGGGACGCAAUUCUUUUUUUAGGGUGUAAUGGUGUAGCGACACGGAUAUUUUCCUUCGGUUUGAGCCCUAGCCCAACCCGUAUGAAUAUUUUUUUUUAGCAAAGUAGUCAUCCCUUAGCAUCAAUUGGUGAGCAUGAUUAGUAGAUUCCUUGGAAGAACUCUAGUUAAUAAGGGGAAAAAAAUUAGCAUGUGUGCCACG